rnacentral:lncRNA from 1 species
CUUUUAACACUCUUGCGUGUGGACUCAAAUAAACUCCCGGGAGAGUUAAUUUAACACUGGGCUUUUUGCUGUGUAGUGUUCUAAAAAUUUAGAACCAGUGUAGGCCCCUAUAAUCGUCACCACCUUUAACCCCACUAGCGACGGCCCUGAGCAGCAGAAUACAUUACCUACUGUAAUUGUCACCGGUGUGACAGUUGUAAAGGCCAUGUUAAAGCUAUCCGCUAUAUC